rfam:Triticum aestivum genome assembly, contig: Triticum_aestivum_CS42_TGACv1_scaffold_225487_3B
GUAGUACUCCCUCCGUCCGGAAAUACUUGUCGAAGGAAUGGAUGUAUCUAAACAUAUCAUAGUUUUAGAUACAUCCAUUUUUAUUCAUUUCUCCGACAAGUAUUUUGGGACGGAGGGAGUACCAC